AUUGAACGCUGGCGGCAGGCCUAACACAUGCAAGUCGAACGGUAACAGGAAGUAGCUUGCUUCUUUGCUGACGAGUGGCGGACGGGUGAGUAAUGUCUGGGAAACUGCCUGAUGGAGGGGGAUAACUACUGGAAACGGUAGCUAAUACCGCAUAACGUCGCAAGACCAAAGAGGGGGACCUUCGGGCCUCUUGCCAUCGGAUGUGCCCAGAUGGGAUUAGCUAGUAGGUGGGGUAACGGCUCACCUAGGCGACGAUCCCUAGCUGGUCUGAGAGGAUGACCAGCCACACUGGAACUGAGACACGGUCCAGACUCCUACGGGAGGCAGCAGUGGGGAAUAUUGCACAAUGGGCGCAAGCCUGAUGCAGCCAUGCCGCGUGUAUGAAGAAGGCCUUCGGGUUGUAAAGUACUUUCAGCGGGGAGGAAGGGAGUAAAGUUAAUACCUUUACUCAUUGACGUUACCCGCAGAAGAAGCACCGGCUAACUCCGUG
rnacentral:rRNA from 1 species